UCUCUCGUAGCUUAGUGGUGAGAGCAUUGGUUUGUAAAGCCAUAGGUCCCGGGUUCGAAUCCCAGCGAGAGUG
rnacentral:tRNA from 1 species